GCGGAUAUGGCGGAAUUGGCAGACGCGCAAGACUAAGGAUCUUGUGAAGUAACAUUCUUGCAGGUUCAAAUCCUGUUAUCCGCACCA
rnacentral:tRNA from 1 species